rnacentral:rRNA from 1 species
GACGAACGCUGGCGGCGUGCCUAAUACAUGCAAGUAGGACGCAGUUGCGAACGGGUGAGUAACGCGUAUGUAACUGCCUAUUAGAGGGGGAUAACUAUUGGAAACGAUAGCUAAUACCGCAUACUAGUAGAUGGACCUGCGUUGUAUUAGCUAGUAGGUAGGGUACUGGCCUACCUAGGCGACGAUACAUAGCCGACCUGAGAGGGUGAACGGCCGCACUGGUACUGGAACACGGCCCAGACUCCUACGGGAGGAAGCAGAAGGGAAUCUUCGGCAAUGGGGGGAGCCCUGACCGGGCAACGCCGCGUGAGUGAAGAAGGGGUUCGGAUCGUAAAGCUCUGUUGUUAAGGAAGCGGUACUUAACCAGAAAGGGACGGCUAACUACGUGCCAGCCGCCGCGGUAAUAC